rnacentral:lncRNA from 1 species
CAGUGAGCCAAGAUCGUGCCAUUGUGCUCCAGCCUGGACAACAGUGUGAGACUCUGUCUCAAAAAAAAAAAAAAAAAUUAUCUCUUGAGUGACAGCCCCCUCCAGCUACACUUCCUCCUUUCUACACCCACUUUUGCAACAAACUCAAAAGAAUUGUCUAUAUUCACUGAUUACAUUUCCUCCUGUUUUCUUUAAACCUUAGUAGUCAGCUGUCACCCUACCCCGGUCCAUUGAAAUUGUUCUUAUCAAGCUCAUCACUGACCUCCAUGUUACUAGUCCAAUGAUCAAUUCUCACUCCUCAUCUUGCUCAACCUCUCAGCAGCCUUUGAUGCAGCUGAAAUAACUGACACUUCUUGAAAUGUUUCCUUCACUUGACUCUCAGGAGUCUAUACAAUCCUGGUUUCCUGCUAUCUCACAGGCCGCACAGUUGCUGUCUCCUUCCGCUGAUUAUAACCUGCUCUAAUCCCCAGGGUUCCAUUCUCUGCUCUCUUUUCCUUUGUAAAUAUGAAUCUCUUCCUUGAACUUGAGAUAUAUAGAUAGAUAAAUUAUAAAUUGAUAGGCAGAUAGAUAUCAUAUUAAUCAAACUUAAUCAAAAUUAAACUUCCUAUCCUCUUUCCCAGACCCACGUUGCCACCACUGCCUUCCUCAUAUCAGUUAGUGGCAACGAUAUUCUUACCAUUGCUAAGGUUCAAAACCUUGGUAUCACCCUUGAGGAAUCUUUCCCUUUCACUCUACAUCUAAUCUAUUAGCAAAUGUUGUCUCUUCCACCUUCAUAAUACAUCCAAAAUCCAGUCACUUCUCAACACCUCCAUUGCUACAAUCAUCUGGUCCAGGCCACCAUCAUCUCUCUCCUGGACUUUUUCCUCCAAACUAGUCUCUUUAAUCCCACCGUUGACUCUCUGCAUUUAUUCUCAAACAGUAACCAGGGCAAUCUGCUAAAAUGCAAAUCAGAUAAUGUCACUCCUUCCCAUCUUCAUCAGAAUAAAAGCCCACGUCUUUCCAAAAGCUCGUAAGAGCCUGUAUAAUCUGGGUCUCUGUUUCUUUCUCCAUCUCAUCCUAGUUCUCUCUGCCUUCUCACUCUGCUCUUUCCAUAGUGACUUCUGGCUGACCUAGAACACACCAGGUAUGUUCUACUUCAGAUAUGUGUCUGGCUGCUCUCUCAUAUCCCAAGAUUUUUGCACAAAUGUCACCUUCUCGAUGAGGCUUUCCCUGAUCAUCCGGUUUAAAAUUGCUUUUUGCCCCAUGCCCCCUUUCCUUGCCUCAUUGUCUCUGUAACACUUGCCACCAUCUGAUACGCUAUGUAGUGUACCUUUCGUUUGCUGUCUAGAGUGUAAACUCCAUGAGGCAGGGUCUUUUGUCUGCUUUGUUCACUGUUAUACCCCUAAAACCUGGAUCAGUGCCUGGCCUAAAAUAGGAACUCAGUGAACAUUUGCUGAAUGAAUGAAUGAAUGAAUGAAUGAAUGAACUAGCAGUGAUUGAAAAAGACUCAACAGCCUACUCAGUGCUUUAAAAAUAUGCCACUAAUUACAGGCCCAGAAAGAAAAUUAGCCGUAAGCAUUUCUUUUCUGUUCCCAUUAGAACCUCUAAUGAGAGUGCACGGUUGUUAUUAUUUCAAAAGCAACAGCUUUCCAGUGUUUAACAAUGUGCUAAAUGCUUUUGCUGUUUGUUUCCAUUCCUUUUUCCCUAAUGGGUAAGGGGAUUCGAUGGCUGAUUUCCCCACUCUAAUCACCAUGGGGAGGCUGGUUUUCCUCAUGGCACUUGGCUUCUCCUCUCCUCAGAUUCAGCCAGCACUUAGUCAGUUGAUAAAAUCUUUGAGCACCUACUGUGUACUGUGUGUAGGGUUCUCUCUUUGAAUCAUAAGUCUAUUGCGCACCAUGAAACAUAAACCAAAUGUUGGUGAUGCAGUCCCAGUGAUCUCACUCCGAGGAAUUUUUGUAGCCAGCGUCCCCAGUGCUAAAGCAUGCCCCAUCUCUGCCAGAAGAUCUUUGAUGCCACAAGGGGCAAUACAGUGCUUCCCAGACUCUUCUGCAGAACUCUGUAUCAGUGUCAAAACAUUCUAGGCCCUCCUUACAUGAAAAUGGUCACUUAUCUAGUGAUGGAGGCUACAGAUGGUGCUUACUGUGCAUUUGGAUUCACAGACUGCUUACAAUAACUGAAACUGUUGGUGUCCACAGGCCCUGAAACGCUGAUGUCACUGGAAAGUGCAUUGUUCUUAGAGUUCAAAGACCCAAUUGCACUCUUGGUUCUGCCGCCUAACUGGCUGUGCCUCCUUAGGCAAGUUACUCCAUCUUCAAAGGGAUGAAAUUAUUGAGCUCCUGUUACCUGACAGACAUGAACUGUCCUCAGGGAACCCAAAGAUUCAGGAAAAAAAAAUGGUGCCUGGGCUUAAGGAUGUCACACACCAGUAGAAGCAGGCAGAUGAUCAACGGCAUGCAGCUGGGGAAUACAGAGACACAGAAAAAGCCCUGAAAACCCUCAGAAGUGGGAUGGAUUAAUCUUUUCCUGAAGAAUCAUUGGCUCCAAUGAAGCAGGGAAUGAACACAAUGCACCAGAGCUACCCAGGGGGCCCUGGGCACCUCAGCAAGGCCUUCUCCUGGCCUAGGACCUUGGAGUGGGAUCACAUGAGAUUCCAAGAGAUUCUCACCAUGGCCCCCUCAAAGGGAGCCUCUCAUUUGUCUUUUGAAUGCUCAGCUAUUCAACUAAAAGUAUAUUAAAAAUGCCCGCUUUGGAUCUGAUUCAAAAUAAUCUAGCCAGAUGGGAGAGUUGUAGAUGAAACAGAUUGGCCAUAAGUUAAUCAUUAUUGAAUCUGAGUGAUGGCUGCAUGUGGGGAGCCAUUAUUAUAUUCUCUGUUCUUUUGCAUAUUUUUGAAAUUUCCCAUAAAUAAAAGUUUUAAAAGGUUGCAUAUGAAUAUAAUCUGGUAUAAUUUUUCUGGGGAAUAAUUUAGUAUUAUAUAUUCAAAAGUCUUUAAAAUGUGCAAAUCCUGUGACUCAGAACUUCUACUUCUAGGAAUUUACUCUUAGGAAAUAAUCAUGAAUGGGUGAAAAGAUUUAUCUACAGGGAUGUUAAUGACAGUCUUGUUUAUAAUAGGGGAAGAAAAGAAAAGUGUUCAAUAAUGAGGACUGGUCAAAUAAAUGUUGGCAUCUAUUAUGAUAGACCAUUAUGGAGCCAUUAAAAUAAUCUUGGGUCUGGUGAUGGUGAAGAGAAAUGUCAUUUCACACACUAUUGAUGGGAAUAAAUUUAAUAACUGCUUUGCAAAGUGAGUUGGUAUUAUCGAUCCUUGUUUAAAAUGCUUACUUUGGCCCAGCAAUUACAUUAUUAAGAAUUUUUCCCAUUGACAGACAAAAAUGUAUAUACUGGGAUAACUGCAGCAUUCUUUAUAGUAGGAAAAAAUGAAAACAAUAUAAAUGUUCAACAAAUAAAGAUAAGUUGAAUAAAUUGUGGUUAACCAUACAAUGGAAUACUCGAAGGCAUUGUUUGUAUGUUAUAAUAAUUAUAC